rnacentral:rRNA from 1 species
AGCGAACGCUGGCGGCAGGCCUAACACAUGCAAGUCGAACGGAUCCUUCGGGAUUAGUGGCGGACGGGUGAGUAACACGUGGGAACGUGCCCUUUGGUUCGGAACAACUCAGGGAAACUUGAGCUAAUACCGGAUGUGCCCUUCGGGGGAAAGAUUUAUCGCCAUUGGAGCGGCCCGCGUCUGAUUAGCUAGUUGGUGGGGUAAAGGCCCACCAAGGCGACGAUCAGUAGCUGGUCUGAGAGGAUGAUCAGCCACAUUGGGACUGAGACACGGCCCAAACUCCUACGGGAGGCAGCAGUGGGGAAUCUUGCGCAAUGGGCGAAAGCCUGACGCAGCCAUGCCGCGUGAAUGAUGAAGGUCUUAGGAUUGUAAAAUUCUUUCACCGGGGACGAUAAUGACGGUACCCGGAGAAGAAGCCCCGGCUAACUUCGUGCCAGCCGCCGCGGUAACAC